UAUAAUAGACUCUUGUCGUCCGGCGUCUUCCCCGGACCUUGCGGAUAGCGGGAGCUUAGUGCACCGGGCUGCCCCUUUUUAAAGAGAAAGACAAGCUCACAUAAUCUCGUAUGGACUCUGUAUAAACUUGAAAAGGACAGUUUGCCCCGCUGGGAAUUUGUUUUUUUAUGUUUCUUUUACCCAUUUGCAAUUUUAGUUAACCUUUAUGGCUUUUGGAGCAUUUUGUUCUUCUCCAGUUUGGCUAGCUCAUUUUGGUAGUUGGGUCAGGACUCAGUAGGUAGAUAUUCCAAAGACAAGACUGAAUUUUAGUAUUCAUGAGAUGUUACUUUAAUGAGGAUGCUACGAGCCAAUAUGGCUGGUUUUAGAGUUGUUAAUGGAAGAUGCAUGUGGUGCUCUUUUCUCUUUAUUGUUUCAAUGGAAAAGGGUAAAAAAUACCCUUCUACUAUGCGAAAAGGAUUAUAUAUACCCUCUGUUAUACUUUCGGCUCAUCGUUGCCCCCGACGUUAUAAAACUAGUGCAAAGUUACCCUUCCUCCGUUAGGCACCCUCACCAUGAACAACAUCUUCCCAUGUGGCCUAACAUUUCGUUGAGGUGGACACCAUGUGGCAUUGCCACUUCACUGCCCCAACCUCCCCACUUCUCCCACCAUCAUCUCCCCCUUCACCCAACCACCGCUACCAUCACCCCCUUAUUUAGUGUUUCAUCUUACUUAUUGUAAUUGAUGGAAAAACUGAUCUUUACUUCAUCCUUUAAGCAAUUAACAUCCACGUGAAGUAAUCUAUGUAUGUGCCAUAAGUAAAACCUUUAGGGUCGUUUGGUAGGAUGUAUAAGAAUAAUAAUGAAUAGAGCAUAUUAGUAAUGUUGGGACAAGUUAUGCUGUGAUUAGUUAUGUUGGAAUUAUAUCUUAUCAACUGUUUGAUUUGAUGUAUUAAAGGUUUUGAAAGGACAAUUUAUCUUUAUAUAUGCUUAUCCAUGUAUUAUAAAUCAUGGUAUUGCUAAUGCCGUGGUUUGCUAUGUAUAAGAAUAGUACUGAAUAUGGUGUAUAAUUAAUAUAAAUAUUGGUUAAACAUAGGUUGAAAAACACUACCACACAAGGGAUUAAUAAUACCAAAACUAAUAUAUAUAUAUAUAUAUAUAUAUAUAUUAUUGCUCUAAUACAUCCUACCAAACGACCCCUUAAGGAGCUAUGGCAGUUAUCCCUAUCAACCACAAUCAAAUAAGCCAAGUAAUGAUAUGUUCUUAGUUGAAGGAUUUGCUACAAAAUUGCUUCUUUUGCUUUAGUACUAUCACAGCCCCAACCAUGGAGAACCCACCCGAAAAUUACAGAACAAACGUGGGCAUUUGUCUAAUGACCCCUUCUAAUAAAAAGGUCUCUCUAUUAUUUACAUUUACAGAGUAAUCGAUUUAUAUAUUUUAUUUGUUUUCUCUUUGAUUCAGCUAUUUUUAGUUUUAAUCUAAAUUCUGCAGAUUUUGGGUUUUCAAGGCUUGCUAUACCUAGUGCUUGGCAAAUGCAGCUGGUAAAUUUUGCAAAUUUCAAUUGGGUUUGGUUCACUCUUUUUUGUUUUAAUUGUUGGAAGUUAUAUUUGGAUUUAGACGGCAUAUUCAUUUUGGCUGGAGGGGAGGUGGUGGUGGUAGAAGAAUUGGGGAAGGGGGUAAAUGGUUGGGGUGGUGAGGUGGCAUGCCGUGUGGCCGGCUACCUAGAUAUCAAGGCACAUGGGAUGGUGUUGUGCAUGGUUGAGGGCCCUAACAAAGGAGGGGUAUUUUUCUAAAGUCGGAGGGCAAUGAUCUUUUUCGCAUGAUAGAGGGUGUAUUUGUCCUUUGCCAACCAUCAGCCCUCUGCCGUCUAUAACACAGAGACAUUGAGCUGCCCUUGUGUUCUGAUUAUUCUUACUUUUCUUACGCCGUUGUAGCUCAUGUCCAUAGCAUUAUUUUACAGGACUGAUGUUUAGCAAGUCGCUUAUUUCUUUGUGCUGCUGAGGCUCUGACCUUGUAAUUCUUGCUUAACUGGAAAAAAAGGAAACUAAAGAUGUGAUAUUCAUAUUC